AAGUCCCCAGUCGCCAAGUCCCUACCUGGCAGUGCACCUGGAGACGGCCCCACGGUCGUGCCCCAGCACCGCAGUGGGAUCCCAGGUCCCCCUCCAGAGGUGCCCAGGGCUCGGAGCGCCGGGCUUUAUCAGCGCGGAUCGGGAACGGCAGAAUUGUCCUGGUGGGGCAGUCCUAGCCCCAGCGACAGGAAGGGGCGCAGCGCCCCCUUGCGGCCGCCCCCGAGUGCCGUCAACUCUGCCCUCUGCGCGCACCCGCCCCGCGGAGUCUGCCGCCUUCCCUGCGGUGUUCCGGAGAGGCCCGGCCUCCCCAGUACUCCAGACACUCACCUCUUCGACGUCAGCACUGGGGCCUCGGGCCGGGUCCGGGAUGCCUCCUAGUUAGCGGGUCCCCCACGGCCAUGAGCAGAAAGUGGGAAGUCUCAGCCAAUCCAUACCAAGGGGUGAGGACAGACGUGGUGUUGUAUGAUCCGCAGUGAACAGGUGAGGGAAACUGAGGCACAGGACAGCAGCGAUGUCACUCGCGGAAGAGACACAGCCAGCAAACUGUAAGGCAAGGAGUUGAACCCAGACACUCCAGGAGACGCUCUCAAGGUGGGUCUCUGCAAACACCAUUGUGACUCGCAUGCCGCUGCUGUUUCUACCAGGACGGUGGACUCUGAUGGCUCCCACAGUCUGCCCUGGAGAAACACAAGUCCCCGGAGAAACCGCCGGUGCUAGGAAGUACAAGAAGAAUAGAAACCCAGGGGGUCCCGAAGACGGCCUUCAUCUGAAUUUCCUAAAAAUCCAUUUACUGGAGCAGUAGACCCAACUAGCUCUCAUCAAGAGAACAGCUCUUCAUCAGAACCAUAGAUCACUCUUCUAGAUUAUCACAUGACUGUACCCUUCAAGGCUCUCUUCAAACCCUCCCUUACUGCAUCCACCAAUCCUCAACUAUUAUAUGAAAAACUUACCUAAUCUAAUUAGCCUCACUGCAUCGAAAGACCCAUCUUGUACCAGACCCUAAAAAAAACUAUAAAUAUCCUAUCUUGAAACACAUCGAAUAUGUUAAUAUUCAUACAUUCACACUAAUACUAAGUAAAAAUGAAGCCUCAUUGAUUGCCUUGAGAAGAUUCUAGAGGGCAGACUCAUUAUUUCCAAAACUGGUAAAUAAAGGGAAAGAAUCAAGCACAUCCUGCCUCUUCUAUACAAAUCAUACUUCAGGAUAAUCCCAUAACUGAUGAAAGAGGUUUCUUUUUAUAGAAGUAUUCUGGCUUAUAAGAGUGGAAGGAAAGAUAGAAUUUAGGAUAUCACAGUUUUCCAAACAUCACAAAAAGGGACCAUCAGACAUCAGUGUCCUCACAGUGAAGACUACAUUGUGAAGAGGUCAUGCCAGAAAAGUCCACCUGAAUCUGACUACCAAAUUAUAAUACAGAGAAUAGAGGAACAAGUGAAAUGACACCACUGGGAUGCCACCAGUAAGACAAAGAGUGGGAAAGUCUUCAAAUACAUCAACAUCAACAAUAACAAUAACAGCAAAAAUAUUAUAAGAAAAAAAGACAGAGAGUAAACCUAUAAAUUAAAAGAGACUUGGGAGAUAGUUUAACUAAUUACAAUGUAUGGACAUUGUUUAGAUCCAAAUUAAACCAACUGUAAAAAUAAGAAGAGGAGGAUUAGGAAAUGUGAAUCCUGAUUGAAUAUUUAUUGAUUUUAAGUACUAAUUUCUACUAAUGAAUUUGGGGAUCUGAUUAUGUCAUCAGGGUUAAAUUUAAAAAGGAGAGUCCUUAUCUUUUAGAUUUACGUACUGAAACUUUUAUAAAAUGAUAGGUUGUCUGGGAUUUGCUUUUAAAAAUCCAGGGCAAAGGGAAGUGGGUGGAGGUGUUAGGGAAAUUGACCAUCAAUUGAUAAUUGCUAAAGUUGGGGGAAGUGUACAUGGAGAUUAAUUAAAUUGUUUUCUCUACUUUCGUGUGCAUGAAUACAAGGACAGUAUAGCCACCAGGCUCCCUUCCUAAAUGUAAUCCUUGGAACUUUCAGUUUGGUUAAAAAUAAUUUUUUAUUACAAAAGGUUAUAUACAUUAAAUUACAUCAUUUAUGUUAUAUAUUCUUUUGUAUAUAUCAAAUAUUGCCUAAUAAAGUUGUAUGUAGCAUAUAUAUGUUACAUGUACAAUAUAUCUAAAUUAUAAGGCAUACCCUGAAGCCACCUCCCAAUUUAAGAACUGGAGCAUUACCAUAACGUUCCUCCUGAACACCAUCCCUUGCCAAACCUUCAAUUUCACAGGUAACCUUGGUUCUGAAUUUUGUUUAUCAACUCCUU